UACGUAGGGUGCGAGCGUUGUCCGGAAUUACUGGGCGUAAAGAGCUCGUAGGUGGUUUGUCGCGUUAUUCGUGAAAACUCACAGCUCAACUGUGGGCGUGCGGGCGAUACGGGCAGGCUGGAGUACUGCAGGGGAGACUGGAAUUCCUGGUGUAGCGGUGGAAUGCGCAGAUAUCAGGAGGAACACCGGUGGCGAAGGCGGGUCUCUGGGCAGUAACUGACGCUGAGGAGCGAAAGCGUGGGGAGCGAACAGG
rnacentral:rRNA from 1 species